rnacentral:tRNA from 1 species
GCGCCCAUAGCUUAAUGGAUAGAGCAUCUGACUACGGAUCAGAAGGUUGGGGGUUCAAGUCCCUCUGGGCGCGCCA